rnacentral:rRNA from 1 species
CGAAGGGGGCUAGCGUUGUUCGGAAUUACUGGGCGUAAAGGGCGCGUAGGCGGUCCUGAUCGUCGGAUGUGAAAGGCCUGGGCUCAACCUGGGAACUGCAUCCGAUACGGCGGGACUGGAGUGUGGGAGAGGUUGGUGGAAUUCCCAGUGUAGAGGUGAAAUUCGUAGAUAUUGGGAAGAACACCGGUGGCGAAGGCGGCCAACUGGACCACAACUGACGCUGAGGCGCGAAAGCGUGGGGAGCAAACAGGAUUAGAUACCCUGGUAGUCCACGCUGUAAACGACGCGUGCUAGACGUUGGGAGACCUAGUCUCUCGGUGUCGUCGCUAACGCUUUAAGCACGCCGCCUGGGGAGUACGGCCGCAAGGUUA